GAUGAAGAACGCAGCGAAAUGCGAUACUUGGUGUGAAUUGCAGAAUCCCGUGAACCAUCGAGUCUUUGAACGCAAGUUGCGCCCGAAGCCAUUAGGCCGAGGGCACGCCUGCCUGGGUGUCACACACCGUUACCCUCGCGCCAACGUCCAUCGUUGGCCGCGGCGCGGGGCGUGCGCUGACCUCCCGCGAGCGGGGUCUCGUGGUUGGUUGAAAAUCGAGUUCGCGGUCGAGGGUGCCGUGAUGAAAUGGUGGAUGGGCGACGCCCGAGGCCAAUCACGCGCGACUCUGUCCGGCUCCGACUCCUGGACCCCUUCGGCGUCUCCGGACGCUCUUUGGCGAGACCUCAGGUCAGGCGGGGCUACCCGCUGAGUUUAAGCAUAUCAAUAAGCGGAGGA
rnacentral:misc_RNA from 1 species